AAGAGCAAUUGGAAUUUUUUAAAAGAGCAUUGCUGAGGGAGGAUGGGGAAUGCUGGAAUCUUACAUUCAGGAACGGCUUGAGUUGGAGGACCACGCCUCCCAUGGGGGCUACUGGUAGUGAACAGGUGUGUUGGGGGGCAGACCUGACGGGUCUGCACUUGGUCCAGCAGAGCUUAAGAUUGUUA